UACGUAGGGUGCAAGCGUUAAUCGGAAUUACUGGGCGUAAAGCGUGCGCAGGCGGUUUUGUAAGACCGAAGUGAAAUCCCCGGGCUUAACCUGGGAACUGCAUUGGUGACUGCAAGGCUUGAGUGUGUCAGAGGGAGGCGGAAUUCCGCGUGUAGCAGUGAAAUGCGUAGAUAUGCGGAGGAACACCGAUGGCGAAGGCAGCCUCCUGGGAUAACACUGACGCUCAUGCACGAAAGCGUGGGGAGCAAACAGG
rnacentral:rRNA from 1 species